rnacentral:rRNA from 1 species
GAACAAACGCUGGCGGCGUGCCUAAUACAUGCAAGUCGAACGGGGAAAGCUUUCGGGUGAGUACUAGUGGCGCACGGGUGAGGAACGCGUGGAUAAUCUGCCUUAGAGUGGGGGAUAACUAGUCGAAAGAUUAGCUAAUACCGCAUAAGACCACGAGAGCUGCGGCUUUUGAGGUCAAAGGUUUUUCGCUCUAAGAUGAGUCCGCGUAAGAUUAGCUAGUUGGUGAGGUAACGGCUCACCAAGGCGACGAUCUUUAACUGGUCUGAGAGGAUGAUCAGUCACACUGGAACUGAGACACGGUCCAGACUCCUACGGGAGGCAGCAGUAGGGAAUAUUGCACAAUGGAGGAAACUCUGAUGCAGCGACGCCGCGUGAGUGAUGAAGGCCUUCGGGUCGUAAAGCUCUGUCGCAGGGGAAUAACACAAUGAAGGUACCCUGUAAGAAAGGAUCGGCUAACUUCGUG